rnacentral:lncRNA from 1 species
CACCCAUCUCACUCGAUUGUAUUCCACAGGGCUGAACUCUGCAGUCAAGACUGGUCAUCAGCGAGAAGAUGAAAAUAUGCCUUAUGGUAAGGAUACUGCCAGUCUCAAGAGUGAGGGAAAGGAAGAGGCGGAGUCUUCGGGCCAGAGCUUGUACUGCAUCUGAGAAAUGAGAAAUGAGUUGGCAACUGGGGAACGAGGUCUCUUCCAUCAAGAACGCCAAUUGCCAAAGUAAAAUAAGGAAACUGAUUUUGUUUGUUGAAGGCAGAGGAGACAAGACAAUUCUGAUUUGGGGGCUUCUCCCUGUCCAGCGUUUAGCCACUGUUAGCAAGAACUGGAACCUGACUUCCACAGGUAGUCUUUUAAAUAUUUUAAAUGGUCAUCAACCACAGCAAGUGAAGGAUUCCAGCUGAACUCAGGGUUGAACAAUGUGGCUCAAGAAGCACCUUUUCUGGAAUUAUGGAAAGCCACAAACAAACCCAGAAGUAGAAGAGAAAUAUUUGAGAAGGUCUAACUCUAUAAAUACUUCUUCUCAGGCUGGCGAAUGCUUCUGACAACAUAUAUUCAAUUGCAUUUCUAAGACUGGAACUCAAACUACAUAAGUUAAGUCUCAAGAGCCCUUUCAUAUAGUCGGACUAUUAUGGAGUUUUGAAAUUUUUGAUUCAUCUUGGAGUAUUCUAUUGAGUAUUUUUUUUCCAAGAGAAGUACACGUGUAGACUUUUGGGGCAUUUUAGUAUUGGAGAAUGUCUUUGUGGAUGUUCCUCAGUCAUAAUCCUGUCCUUAUAAACUCCAUAGCCAUUUCUCUAAUGUGUUUUGCCAAUUGGGGUUGCUAGGGAGACAUCUUAAUUCAGCAUUUUUGGGGGUGUAUUUGUAAACAAUUGGUAAUUACUACUUCAUCUGUUGUCCAUAUUUUUUCCUCCUUAUUUUUCAAUCUCGGUCCAUUAAACUCACAUUUUGAUUCUGAUAUUGAAAAUAAAGGACUGGCUUGCCUUUCAAUCCCUAAGCAUUCAUUAAGGAUUUGUAGACAAAAAGAUUAUAUGUGCAAUAAGAUACUAUGUUAUGCAUAUAUCUAUAUAAGACAUAUCGGUUCUCAUGUCCAGAUAGAAUAGUCUCACCACCAACAGUGUGGGAGGGUUCCCCUUUCUCCACAUCCUCACCAGCAUCUGUCAUUUCCUGACUUGUUGAUUUUAGCCAUUCUGACUGGUGUGAGGUGAUAUCUCAUUGUGGUUUUGAUUNNNNNNNNNNNNNNNNNNNN